UACGUAGGGGGCAAGCGUUGUCCGGAGUUACUGGGCGUAAAGGGCGCGCAGGCGGCGGUGCUGGCCCGGCGUGAAAGCCCCCGGCUCAACCGGGGAGGGUCGUCGGGGACCGCACCGCUUGAGGGCGGUAGGGGCCGGUGGAAUGCCUGGUGUAGUGGUGAAAUGCGUAGAGAUCAGGCAGAACACCUGGGGCGAAGGCGGCCGGCUGGGCCGACCCUGACGCUGAGGCGCGAAGGCGUGGGGAGCGAACAGG
rnacentral:rRNA from 1 species